rnacentral:rRNA from 1 species
CAGGAGAGCUCUGAGGAGACAUUAU